AAAAAAAAAAAAAAAAAUAAAAUACAUAGUCACAAAAAUAGUUACAAACAUAGUCACAAAAAUAGUUACAAACAUANNNNNNNNNNUCACAAAAAUAGUUACAAACAUAGUCACAAAAAUAGUUACAAACAUAUUCACAAAAUAAUUGCAAACGUCGUCACAAAAAAGUUGUAAACGUCGUCACAAAAAAGUUGUAAACGUCGUCACAAAAAUAGUUGCAAACGUAAUAACAAGUCAGUUACAAACGUAGCCACAAAAAUAAACGCUGCAAAUUCUGUAUGCCAUAAUAAAUAUAGUUUAAUGGAUAACUCUCCUACAUUAAACAUAAGCUCAGUUAUAAACGAGCGGGAAAAUGAAAAAUACCAAUAUAUAGAAGAUACGAAUUUUUUGCAUUGCGAACAAAAAAAUGUAAAGGAGGGAAAUAACAAACAUACCAAUAUAUUAAUAUACGAAUUAACGAAAAUAACAAGAAGUGAUAGUUUUGAUUUAUUUGGAGAACUAAAUAGCAUUCAAAAAAAUCAUUAUUUAAAAGUACGAAAAGGCAUUCGGAAUUUUAUGUUUAAAUGCUUUAAAGCUGAUCAGCUUUUAAUGCCGAAAGAAGAUGUUAAACAAUAUCAUAUAAAUAAUACUCAAAAUAACUUAAAAAAAAAAAAAACGCAUUUGAGUAUGCAUUUAAACAGGGACAAAAUAAAUAAAUUAUUUUUAGAUAAAAACCAAGAAAAUGUAAAAAGUAAUUUUUCAAAUGAUAACAGUAAUAAUAUACAUGUAAAUACUAGCGAUGACAAUAACUGUGGUAAUUUCAGUACAAAUCAUAACAAAACCAGUGCAAAUAUCAUUGAAAAUAAUGACAGUAGUAGUAACAAUAUAGGAAGUAACAACAUAAAAGAAAAUAAUGACAGUAGUAGUAACAAUAUAGAAAGUAACAACAUAAGUGAAGAUACUGCCAGUAGUGGUAACAAUAUAGGAAGUAACAACAUAAGUGAAGAUACUGCCAGUAGUAGUAACAAUAUAGGAAGUAACAACAUAAGUGAAGAUAUUGCCAGUAGUAGUAACAAGAUAGGAAGUAACAAUAUAAGUGCAAAUAAAAUCAGUAGUAGUAACAAGAUAGGUAGUAACAAGAACAACACCAACAUAUAUGUUCAAUCAUAUAAAUCAUUUAAAAUUGAUAAGGGUAGAAACAAAGUAAUCCUUAUCGAAGAAACCGAUACCGGCGUAAUUAUCAUAGACAGUGAAGACGAGGAAGGAGCAGAUGUUAUGUGUGGUAUAGAAACCAUUGAAAUAUUAUCAUCAGAUGAAGAUGUAGAAGAUAAACAAAUAAAUACAAAUAACGAAAUAACAGAAGUUCAUAAUAAUAACAUAAAUGAGAAUAUAAAUGAGGAUAUAAAUGAAAAUAUAAAUAAGGACAUAAAUAUGGAUAUAAAUAAUAAUAUAAGUAUGGAUAUAAAUAAUAACAUAAGUAUGGACAUAAAUAAUAACAUAAAUGAGGAUAUAAAUAAGGACAUAAAUAUAGAUAUAAAUAAUAAUAUAAGUACGGAUAUAAAUAAUAAUAUAAGUACNNNNNNNNNNGGAUAUAAAUAAUAAUAUAAGUACGGAUAUAAAUAAUAAUAUAAGUAUGGAUAUAAAUAAUAACAUAAAUGAGGAUAUAAAUAAGGACAUAAAUGAGGACAUAAAUAAGGACAUAAAUGAGGACAUAAAUAAUAACAUAAAUACGGAUAUAAAUAAUAGCAACAAAAUAAACUCAGAAAAAAUUAAAGACCCUGACGAAAC
ensembl:lncRNA